UACGAAGGGGGGCUAGCGUUGCUCGGAAUCACUGGGCGUAAAGCGCACGUAGGCGGAUUGUUAAGUCAGGGGUGAAAUCCUGGAGCUCAACUCCAGAACUGCCUUUGAUACUGGCGAUCUCGAGUCCGGGAGAGGUGAGUGGAACUGCGAGUGUAGAGGUGAAAUUCGUAGAUAUUAGGAAGAACACCAGUGGCGAAGGCGGCUCACUGGCCCGGUACUGACGCUGAGGAGCGAAAGCGUGGGGAGCGAACAGG
rnacentral:rRNA from 1 species